GUAAGGAAUAUUGGUCAAUGGGCGGAAGCCUGAACCAGCCAUGCCGCGUGCAGGACGACGGCCCUACGGGUUGUAAACUGCUUUUGCCCGGGAAUAACCCCCCGCUCUUGAGCGGGGCUGAACGUACCGGGAGAAUAAGGAUCGGCUAACUCCGUGCCAGCAGCCGCGGUAAUACGGAGGAUCCGAGCGUUAUCCGGAUUUAUUGGGUUUAAAGGGUGCGUAUGCGGCCGUUUAAGUCAGGGGUGAAAUACAGCGGCUCAACCGUUGCAGUGCCUUUGAUACUGAAUGGCUUGAAUGAUGUCGAAGACGGCGGAAUGGGACAAGUAGCGGUGAAAUGCAUAGAUAUGUCCCAGAACCCCGAUAGCGAAGGCAGCUGUCUAGGCAUUUAUUGACGCUGAUGCACGAAAGCGUGGGGAUCGAACAGGAUUAGAUACCCCAGUAGUCC
rnacentral:rRNA from 1 species